AAUGUGUUCAAAUCUGUUUUUUCAGAGCAGCCAGCCUCCGCCUCUCUAUUCUUUGUUCUUCCCAUAUUUCAUAUCGAAACCCUAGCUUAAUCUCCCAAAUGGGCAAAUCAAGCAAGAAAUCUGCCACCAAAGUAUGCUUCUUUUGAACUGCUUUCGCUUCGUCAAGUCUUUGAUUUUGAUUCGAUGAUUUCGUUAACUAAUUGGGUUUUGAUUUUCCUUACAGGUUGAGGCUCCCGCUGUAGUUGUUCCAGCUCCUAAGUCUGGAAAGAAAGGUUUCGAUUCUUUUCGGAGUUUUGGGAUGUUGUUGUUUUGAUUUAAUUUUA
rnacentral:lncRNA from 1 species